rnacentral:rRNA from 1 species
CCUACGGGAGGCAGCAGUGAGGAAUAUUGCACAAUGGGGGCAACCCUGAUGCAGCAACGCCGCGUGGGUGAUGAAGGCUUUCGGGUCGUAAAACCCUUUUCUGGGGGACGAGAAAGGACGGUACCUCAGGAAUAAGUCCCGGCUAACUACGUGCCAGCAGCCGCGGUAAAACGUAGGGGGCAAGCGUUAUCCGGAUUUACUGGGCGUAAAGCGCGUGCAGGCGGCUUGGUAGGUUGGACGUGAAAGCUCCCGGCUCAACUGGGAGAGGCCGUUCAAUACCGCUAGGCUUGAGGGCGGAAGAGGGGAGUGGAAUUCCCGGUGUAGUGGUGGAAUGCGUAGAGAUCGGGAGGAACACCAGUGGCGAAGGCGACUCCCUGGUCCGUACCUGACGCUAAGACGCGAAAGCAUGGGGAGCGAACGGGAUUAGAUACCCCGGUAGUCCACGCCGUAAACGAUGGAUGCUAGGUGUGGGUGGUAUUGACCCCAUCCGUGCCGUAGCUAACGCAUUAAGUGCCCCGCCUGGGGAGUACGGCCGCAAGGCUAAAACUCAAAGGAAUUGACG